rnacentral:rRNA from 1 species
CCUACGGGAGACAGCAGUGGGGGAUAUUGCACAAUGGGGGGAACCCUGAUGCAGCGACGCCGCGUGGGUGAAGGAGUGCUUCGGCAUGUAAAGCCCUAUCGGCAGGGACGAAGCAAGACGGUACCUGACUAAGAAGCCCCGGCUAACUACGUGCCAGCAGCCGCGGUAAUACGUAGGGUGCGAGCGUUAUCCGGAUUCACUGGGUGUAAAGGGAGCGUAGACGGCCAUGCAAGCCAGGGGUGAAAGCCCGGGGCCCAACCCCGGGACUGCCCUUGGAACUGUGCGGCUAGAGUGCGGGAGGGGCAGGCGGAAUUCCUGGUGUAGCGGUGAAAUGCGUAGAUAUCAGGAGGAACACCGGCGGCGAAGGCGGCCUGCUGGACCGCGACUGACGUUGAGGCUCGAAAGCGUGGGGAGCGAACAGGAUUAGAUACCCGGGUAGUC